UAGGGAAUCUUCCACAAUGGACGCAAGUCUGAUGGAGCAACGCCGCGUGAGUGAAGAAGGUUUUCGGACCGUAAAGCUCUGUUGUUGGUGAAGAAGGAUAGAGGUAGUAACUGGCCUUUAUUUGACGGUAAUCAACCAGAAAGUCACGGCUAACUACGUGCCAGCAGCCGCGGUAAUACGUAGGUGGCAAGCGUUGCCCGGAUUUAUUGGGCGUAAAGCGAGCGCAGGCGGAAGAAUAAGUCUGAUGUGAAAGCCCUCGGCUUAACCGAGGAAUUGCAUCGGAAACUGUUUUCUUGAGUGCAGAAGAGGAGAGUAGAACUCCAUGUGUAGCGGUGGAAUGCGUAGAUAUAUGGAAGAAUACCAGUGGCGAAGGCGGCUCUCUGGUCUGCAAA
rnacentral:rRNA from 1 species